rnacentral:rRNA from 1 species
GAGGCAGCAGUGAGGAAUUUUGCGCAAUGGGGGAAACCCUGACGCAGCAACGCCGCGUGAGUGAUGAAGGCUUUCGGGUCGUAAAGCUCUGUCGAGUGGGAAGAACAAAAAAGGUUAUAAUACACCUUUUUCUGACGGUACCACCAAAGGAAGCACCGGCUAACUCCGUGCCAGCAGCCGCGGUAACACGGGGGGUGCAAGCGUUAUUCGGAAUUAUUGGGCGUAAAGGGCGCGCAGGCGGUUUCUUAAGUCAGAUGUGAAAGCCCGGGGCUUAACCCCGGAAGGGCGUUUGAAACUAAGUAACUUGAGUAUGGGAGAGGGAAGUGGAAUUCCUGGUGUAGAGGUGAAAUUCGUAGAUAUCAGGAGGAACACCAGUGGCGAAGGCGACUUCCUGGACCAAUACUGACGCUGAGGCGCGAAGGCGUGGGGAGCGAACAGGAUUAGAUACCCUGGUAGUCCACGCAGUAAACGAUGAACACUAGGUGUAGCGGGUAUUGACUCCUGCUGUGCCGCAGUUAACGCAUUAAGUGUUCCGCCUGGGGAGUACGGUCGCAAGAUUAAAACUCAAAGGAAUUGACGGGGGCCCGCACAAGCGGUGGAGCAUGUGGUUUAAUUCGACGCAACGCGAAGAACCUUACCUGGAUUUGACAUCCCGGGAAUUUUUCGAAAGAAAAAAGUGCCCUUCGGGGAACCCGGUGACAGGUGCUGCAUGGCUGUCGUCAGCUCGUGUCGUGAGAUGUUGGGUUAAGUCCCGCAACGAGCGCAACCCCUAUCUUUAGUUACCAUCAUUAAGUUGGGGACUCUAGAGAUACUGCCCCGGUUAACGGGGAGGAAGGUGGGGAUGACGUCAAGUCCUCAUGGCCUUUAUAUCCAGGGCUACACACGUGCUACAAUGGGCUGUACAAAGGGUCGCGAACUCGCAAGAGUAAGCCAAUCCCAUAAAGCAGUCCCUAGUUCGGAUUGGAGUCUGCAACUCGACUCCAUGAAGCUGGAAUCGCUAGUAAUCGUGGAUCAGCAUGCCACGGUGAAUACGUUCCCGGGCCUUGUACACACCGCCCGUCACACCAUGAGAGUUGAUUGUACCAGAAGUUGUUGGACCAACCCGCAAGGGGGGUAGGCACCUAAGGUAUGGUUGGUAAUUAGGGUGAAGUCGUAACAAGGUAGCCGUUGGGGAACCAGCGGCUGGAUCACCUCCUUU